rnacentral:rRNA from 1 species
UUAAUGAAAAUAAUUUUAAGUCAAAUYUGCUCCMUGAAUAUUUUUAAAUAGCUGCAGAAUAUUAACUGUACAAAGGUAGCAUAAUCAAUAGUUUUUUAAUUAAAAGCUGGAAUGAAUGAUUUAAUAAGGUGAAUAUUGUCUCAAAUUUAAUAAUAUUAGAAUUUUUUUUUUUGUUAAAAAACUAAAAUGAAUUUAAAAGACGAGAAGACCCUAUAGAUUUUUAUAAUUUUUAAUUAAAGAAAUUUAAAUUAAGGAAUAAAUUUUAAUUAAUAAUUAUUUAGUUGGGGAAAUUAUUAAAUUAAAUUAAUUUUAAUAUUAUUUAAACAAAAAUUAUUGAAUAGGAGAAUUUUAUUUUAAAAUAAAUAGAAUAAAUUACCUUAGGGAUAACAGCGUAAUUUUUUUAGAGAGAUCUUAUUGAUAAAAAAGUUUGCGACCUCGAUGUUGAAUUAAGAUAAAAUUUUAAUGUAGAAGUUAAAAAAUUUAGGUCUGUUCGACCUUUAAAAUCUU